CGCGGGGUAGAGCAGCUUGGUAGCUCGUCGGGCUCAUAACCCGGAGGUCGUGGGUUCAAGUCCCACCCCCGCAACCA
rnacentral:tRNA from 2 species